rnacentral:ribozyme from 13 species
GCAAAGUUGAUGGCUAAUUUUAGUCCAAUUUUUUUAUUCUCUUCUCUCUCUCUGUCUCCUUCACUUUUUUCAGUUAUAUUUUUUAACGCACAAGAGAGGGAACAUGACUUCAUUAAUAAAAAAUGAAAAAAACAAAUUACUUUUAAUCUCUCAAUUAUCCUUACUUACAACU